rnacentral:misc_RNA from 1 species
GAUGAAGAACGUAGCGAAAUGCGAUAAGUAAUGUGAAUUGCAGAAUUCAGUGAAUCAUCGAAUCUUUGAACGCAUCUUGCGCUCCUUGGUAUUCUGAGGAGCAUGCCUGUUUGAGUGUCAUUAAAUUCUCAACUACACUGACUUUGAAUUGGUGUGGCUUGGAUUUGGGGGGAAAAUUGUUGUGGGCUUUUUGUAUAGUCUGCUCCCCUGAAAUUGAUUAGCGGUACCUUUGUGGAACUGUCUACAGGUGUGAUAAUUAUCUACAUCUUAGACAUCUGCUGGAAUGCUGCUUUCUAAACCUUACUUGUAUUGACAAUCUUGACCACAAAUCAGGUAGGACUACCCGCUGAACUUAAGCAUAUCAAUAAGCGGAGGA